rnacentral:rRNA from 1 species
UACGGAGGGAGCUAGCGUUGUUCGGAAUUACUGGGCGUAAAGCGCGCGUAGGCGGCUUUGUAAGUUAGAGGUGAAAGCCCGGGGCUCAACCCCGGAACUGCCUUUAAGACUGCAUCGCUUGAAUCCGGGAGAGGUGAGUGGAAUUCCGAGUGUAGAGGUGAAAUUCGUAGAUAUUCGGAAGAACACCAGUGGCGAAGGCGGCUCACUGGACACAUAUUGACGCUGAGGUGCGAAAGCGUGGGGAGCAAACAGG